rnacentral:rRNA from 2 species
UCAAGCGAAUAAGCGCACACGGUGGAUGCCUUGGCGGUCAGAGGCGAUGAAGGACGUGGCAGCCUGCGAAAAGUAUCGGGGAGCUGGCAACAAGCUUUGAUCCGGUAAUGUCCGAAUGGGGAAACCCACCCGCUUGCGGGUAUCCUGCAGUGAAUACAUAGCUGCUGGAAGCGAACCUGGUGAACUGAAAUAUCUAAGUAACCAGAGGAAAAGAAAUCAACCGAGAUUCCGUAAGUAGCGACGAGCGAACGCGGACUAGCCCUUAAGCUGGAUUGGUUCUAGGAAAACGCUCUGGAAAGAGCGGCCAUAGAAGGUGAUAGCCCUGUAUCUGAAAGGGCCAUUCCAGUGAAGACGAGUAGGGCGGGGCACGUGAAACCCUGUCUGAACAUGGGGGGACCAUCCUCCAAGGCUAAAUACUACUGACCGACCGAUAGUGAACCAGUACCGUGAGGGAAAGGCGAAAAGAACCCCGGAGAGGGGAGUGAAAUAGAACCUGAAACCGUGUGCGUACAAGCAGUAGGAGCUCCGCAAGGAGUGACUGCGUACCUUUUGUAUAAUGGGUCAGCGACUUACUGUUCGUGGCAAGCUUAACCGUAUAGGGGAGGCGAAGGGAAACCGAGUCUGAUAAGGGCGCAUAGUCGCGGGCAGUAGACCCGAAACCGGGUGAUCUAGUCAUGCCCAGGGUGAAGGUGCGGUAACACGCACUGGAGGCCCGAACCCACUCCCGUUGCAAAGGUAGGGGAUGAGGUGUGAUUAGGAGUGAAAAGCUAAUCGAACCCGGAGAUAGCUGGUUCUCCUCGAAAGCUAUUUAGGUAGCGCCUCAUAUGUAUCCUCUCGGGGGUAGAGCACUGUUAUGGCUAGGGGGUCAUCGCGACUUACCAAACCAUUGCAAACUCCGAAUACCGAGACGGACUGUAUGGGAGACACACGGCGGGUGCUAACGUCCGUCGUGAAAAGGGAAACAACCCAGACCCACAGCUAAGGUCCCAAAUUCACUGCUAAGUGGAAAACCAUGUGGAAAGGCACAGACAGCCAGGAGGUUGGCUUAGAAGCAGCCACCCUUUAAAGAAAGCGUAAUAGCUCACUGGUCGAGUCGGUCUGCGGGGAAGAUUUAACGGGGCUAAGCAGUGAACCGAAGCUUGGGGUGCAUAACUUUGUUAUGCGCGGUAGAGGAGCGUUCCGUAAGCCGUUGAAGGUGGAUUGAGAAGUCUGCUGGAGGUAUCGGAAGUGCGAAUGCUGACAUGAGUAACGAUAAUGCGGGUGAAAAACCCGCACGCCGAAAGCCCAAGGUUUCCUUGCGCAACGUUAAUCGGCGCAGGGUGAGUCGGCCCCUAAGGCGAGGACGAAAGUCGUAGUCGAUGGGAAGCAGGUUAAUAUUCCUGCACCUCGCGUAAGUGCGAUGGAGGGACGGAGAAGGUUAGGUGUACCAGGCGUUGGUUGUCCUGGGGAAAGGCGGUAGGUUUGGAUCUUUGGCAAAUCCGGGAUCCUUUAAGACCGAGCACCGAGACGAGCCUUUAUGGCGAAGUCACUGAUACCACGCUUCCAGGAAAAGCUCCUAAGCUUCAGCUUACGCAGACCGUACCGUAAACCGACACAGGUGGGUAGGAUGAGAAUUCUCAGGCGCUUGAGAGAACUCGGGUGAAGGAACUAGGCAACAUGGCACCGUAACUUCGGGAGAAGGUGCACCCUUUUUGGUGGCUCGUGCGAGCUAUAGCUGAAGAGGGUCGCAGUAACCAGGCCGCUGCGACUGUUUAUCAAAAACACAGCACUCUGCAAACACGAAAGUGGACGUAUAGGGUGUGACGCCUGCCCGGUGCUGGAAGGUUAAUUGAUGGGGUCAGCCGCAAGGCGAAGCUCUUGAUCGAAGCCCCAGUAAACGGCGGCCGUAACUAUAACGGUCCUAAGGUAGCGAAAUUCCUUGUCGGGUAAGUUCCGACCUGCACGAAUGGCGUAACGACAGCGGCGCUGUCUCCACCCGAGACUCAGUGAAAUUGAAAUCGCUGUGAAGAUGCAGCGUUCCCGUGGCAAGACGGAAAGACCCCGUGAACCUUUACUAUAGCUUUACACUGAACGUUGAGUUCGUCUGUGUAGGAUAGGUGGGAGGCUAUGAAACCAUGGCGCUAGCUGUGGCGGAGCCAUCCUUGAAAUACCACCCUGUCGUGCUUGACGUUCUAACCUGGGCCCAUUAUCUGGGUCGGGGACCGUGUAUGGUGGGUAGUUUGACUGGGGCGGUCUCCUCCUAAAGAGUAACGGAGGAGCUCGAAGGUACGCUCAGCGCGGUCGGACAUCGCGCACUGUGUGCAAAGGCAUAAGCGUGCUUGACUGCAAGAUCGACGGAUCAAGCAGGUAGGAAACUAGGACUUAGUGAUCCGGUGGUUCUGUAUGGAAGGGCCAUCGCUCAACGGAUAAAAGGUACUCCGGGGAUAACAGGCUGAUACCGCCCAAGAGUUCAUAUCGACGGCGGUGUUUGGCACCUCGAUGUCGGCUCAUCACAUCCUGGGGCUGUAGUCGGUCCCAAGGGUAUGGCUGUUCGCCAUUUAAAGUGGUACGCGAGCUGGGUUCAGAACGUCGUGAGACAGUUCGGUCCCUAUCUGCCAUGGGCGUUGGAGAUUUGAGAGGGGCUGCUCCUAGUACGAGAGGACCGGAGUGGACGAACCUCUGGUGUUCCGGUUGUCACGCCAGUGGCAUUGCCGGGUAGCUAUGUUCGGAAGCGAUAACCGCUGAAAGCAUCUAAGCGGGAAGCGCGCCUCAAGAUGAGAUCUCCCGGGGCACAAGCCCCCUGAAGGAACCAUGUAGACUACGUGGUUGAUAGGUCAGGUGUGUAAGUACAGCAAUGUAUUGAGCUAACUGAUACUAAUGAUCCGUGCGGCUUGACCAU